CGCAGGGAGCAGAGGGCACACAGGGGCACUGCACCAACAGCAGGGCAUAAAGGGGGCUGAAGGACAAGAAGGGCACAGCUUGCAGCCUCCUGAAGUGUUAAGGUUGUAUGGGUUGGAGCCUUCUGGAAUUGUGUGGGGACGCUCUGGGUGUUGUGGCCAUCUCAGCUGUGAUAAUUGCACCCUGAGGAUGAAUCUUGCACUAACACAAGCUUCGCUGCUUGACAGACGCCUGCAAAAUGUCAUCACACCUUUGUGUGGACCUGUUUGGGUCUUUGAGAGAGGAGGUUUCAGCCCCUCAGGAGCAGAGAUUUACAUCCGAGGAGUUCUAUUGGCCCUGCACCAACGAGUAAAGCCUGCAAAGUGUUGCAAACAGGAACAAGCUGUUGUUGGCCCAGCCUGAUGUGACCACCAAAGCACUUGAGCAGGACUGGAUUUCAGCUGGCUUGGCUCAUUUGGGGACCCAAAUAUUCACCUCUUACUUGCCAGAAUGGUUAAGUGUGUGCCUUUUGCCUGCUACAUCUCCCCAGGACCACUUUUAGCAGAGUCCAGGUGCUGCCUGCCAGAAGUUAAGAGGAAUUUUGUAAUUUACCAGGAUUCUGUCAGCCCCGUCUGUCCAGGUAGCCCAAAAUACAGAUGUUCUGGAAGAAAUUAUGUGGAUGUAUUGAGUAAAAGAAAAACCAUGUGAAAUGGCAUGUCCUCCCCUGCUGCCUACAUUGGGCUGGUAGCAAUAGUUUACAAGGUAUCCUAAAAUGUGUGUAGCUGCAUGUUUUUUCAGUAAAACUUAACUGCAAUCCAUGGUCACCACUGGUCUUGACUCAUUAAAAAAUAUAGAAGGUAGAAAUGGCACAUGAAAAAGGAAGAAGUGCUCCCCAGUUGGAAAAAAGUAUUUAAUGAGCUGCUGCACCCAUUUCUCAAGAACACAUAGAAUGAAAAAUAGUCUUGAAGACCUGAUAGAACUCUUUAAAAGCACAAAACACGAUCAAAGGACUAAUUUUUCAAGUGAAAGGAGACAAUUAUCUCAUUAAAGUCUUGAAGAAUUUGGACAAGUCACAAAAAAACUAUGUUAAAGCCUGCAGUAGCAUGGUUUUUCCCUGCCAAGAAUGAAAAUAGCACAGACUUUUCUGGAAAAGAAGUCUUUUGUAGAGAACCAAGUGUCUGUUGAAUGCUUUGUGGUUAAACACUUAUCUCCCAAGGUCCAGAAAACUCAAGUCCAAGGUCUGUAAAAAAGGAAACAAGUUCUUAGUGUUGAUGUACUUGAGGUAACUGACAACAAUCUUUUUUGAUAAUUGAACAAAUGCCUUUAAGUAUUCCAAAUAACUGCAAGGAAGUUAAAAUUGGGAUA